rnacentral:misc_RNA from 1 species
UCCAUCCUUUCCCAAUCUUGUCUGCUGUAACCUUAAAUAGUCCUAUUGGUUAUAUUGCUUAAUGCAUUAGUUUGUGGAGUGUUAGUUUAAUAGUGACAAAAGUGGAGUAGGAUCUCUGAAUAACAAUGGCUAGAACUUGUUCACCAGUUACCCAUGUCCAUUGUUUCUGCACCUUAUUUACCAAAUAUCAUUGUGAUAUUUGGUGGAGCUUGGCAUUUUCUCUAAAUUUACAAAUUUGAUGAAAGCUUGUUUGCCUCUUGAGGCCUUUCAAUUGCUUUUUCUUUUUGCAAAGUUUAAAUUUAUUUCUUUGUUGUAAACUGUAAAAUACAAAUUGUAAUAUUUAGGUAAAAGCAUGUAAUGUAUAGAUUGAAGAUUGAAAGAAAACAAUUUGGAAAAUUCGUAAGCUAAAUUACAAAUGUAUCCUUCAAUUGGUCAUAUUCUGUAGACCAGGAGAUGAACAAUGGAAUGCUUUAUAUGAUCAACAGGGGUUUAUCUUUUCCUAUACAUUGAACAGUCUCGAUUUGAAACAGAAAUAUUUUUCUUUUUCUAAUUUUGCUCUUAUCAAAUAUGAUAAUGCAACCCUUUUGCCCAUCCUCAUAGAUUGCUUUCAUAUUCUUCUAACUCUUUUGCUCAUAUUCUUCUAACUGGUUGCUUCUAUCUACUUUCGUUUCUCGAUCCUCUGUUACAAUAUCCAAACUUCCAUCCAUCACUUAGUCUAAUCUCACAACAAAAUAAAGAACAAAAACAAAUUUAAUGAUUAAGCAUAAAUCGAAAAUCCAUUUAUUAUUCAAUAAAUUUAUUCAAUAAUUCUACAACAAUUAUAUAUAUAUAAAAAAAAAUCUACAGCAACAAGUCAACAAAUCAGCAUCAAAUGACAAAGUCAAACAAGUAUACAGAUUUG